CUAGGGUACAAAUUGAAUUUCAUCAUGUGUUAGCCAAUGAUAUAGUAAUAGAAUAGGGAUAUUUUUUUUUUGCCUUGAGGCUUUGUUAUCUGCUUCUUUGUGUAUUCUAAAGAGCCGGAGUUCUUAAAAACAGCACUGCAAGCGUUCAGCUAAAAAAUGCCCUUUUGUAGCCUUUUCAGAUUAUAGCCCUUCUAUACAAUGUAUUCAGUCAACUUUCUUCCUGUUUCCCUAUCAGUUAAAUUUAGGACUAUUGUCUUGGUCUAUUAAUGUGAUAGAAUAUCUAGGAAAGUCAAUGACUAUUUACAAAACUGGCACCUACCAUGUCUGCGAAACUCUCAGCCAAACCGGUGCAGCCAUCUGAAAACAGGGAUGAGGAUUCAAACCAUCUCAGUCUGAGAAGGAAGCAGACCCAUCCAUCUUGCAGCCCAAGUGGAGGAUGCGCUGACUUCAGGAGCAGCAGCAAUGAGGAUCAUCAUCACCUUCAUUUGUUUUUUUGAUGGUACUGGAUCUGAUGGUGGGUGCUCUCACAGCCUGCAGGAAGGUGGGUGAAGGUUAACCCAGCUCGACACAGGGGAGGUGCUAAACUGUCAGCAUCAAUCAGGGAAAGAGACUUGAUAGACUAAGAA
rnacentral:lncRNA from 1 species